GAGCAAGCAUCAUGGUGGCCUGCGCUUUAUAAAGGACAGGAGAAUCUUGGUGACAGUGGAAAUGGGUCUCAUUUGCUGGCACUGAGCUGCUGAAGGCAGGCUAGGGAGCACCUGGUUUUGAAGUGUUGGUGGCUCUCAGUUUGCCAACAGACAUAUUUCUCUAAACUAAGGCUAUAAAUACUUCCUUUUUAAAAAUUCUACUUGUUUGUUUGUUUAGCUUUGGUUUGGUUUUGUUGGCUUCCCCAGCCCUAGCUCCGUUAACCAGCGGGCAGACAAGAUGGCGGCUAAGAGGUUAAGAAUUAGGGGCUGAUCCUGGCGAGCUCAGGGGUAAUUACCCUACAUGCAUGAAGCCCCAGGCUGAGGGGAGGUUUCCAUUCGCCAUUCCUGGCAGCAGCUAAUUAUUUCUGUGGGACCUAAAACUGAUGGUUUCUUUGUACUCAGCGUCCUCAUAGAAUGGUGCACGGGCAAAGAUUUGCUGGGCCAUGCAUCUGGAUGCCAGAUAUGUUAAUAACUUACCAUGGGACCUGAGGCAAAGCCUUCUGCCUUCUGAGUCCGAGUUACUACACUCCAAACAGAGAUGCCUGCGCACAGUUUGCACGGUUUGCACGGUUUGCACGGAGGACCUCAUCAGUUGCUCUGCUGGGAACUUCCAAGUCCUCAUAGCAUGGCACAGAAUACCCACGUCAAUGAAAUCUCCAUAGACAGUCGCUGCUAGACCCAGGGUGUCCCUUCUCCAGACAAGAGAUAUAUCCCCUUAGGUAUUCAAGGGCUAUGCUAAUUUCAAGACUCCCAAGAGGUUAGUCUUAGUGCUUUAUCACAGAAUCAUUUUUCCCAAGGCAGCCUCUGCAGCUGCUUUUAAAACUCCUGAAUAUUUUAGAAUUAAAGAAGGCUUCGGAAUGUCAAUAAUCCUCGGAUCUGAUCUCCCCACAUCGCACCUGUCUGUAUUUCCUGACAGCAGCAUGAGGCGUCCCGGGCCCUCAGAAUAAAGAGAAUGCAUGGCUGCUUGUACAUUCUUAGAUGUGUUCCUGUAGUCACGUGGGUGUCCUGGCAACUCUCCUAAAGAUGGCCUCAUGCUGUGUUCUUCGCCCAUUGUACACCCAUAUCCCAAGGCUCCUAACUGGUCAGGAAUGACACUGUGGGAGGUUUUGAGGUAGCCUCAGGACAGAGACCGCCCCCCAGGAGAAGUUCAGGAAUGGAGGGGGGACAAAUUUUCAGAUCCUGCCCCAUGUGCCCACCCACUCAGGGGACCAGGGAACAAAGAAACUUCCCAAAACACAGGGAAGAGUUUCCCAAGACCAUCUGGCACCACGGGAUGGCAGUUCAUUUAGCAUUGUGGCUGUGGUGGGAGAAUUGGGUUUCUCUAGAGGCUGGGUUUGGCUGUGUGCUGUCCUCCCCGCCUCCUCUCUGGCUUUCUGUGACUCCCGACAUUUUAUCUUUACUUCUCUCUGUUCCUUUGCAUGUUCUCUUCUCUUUCAGCAACUCAGUGUUAAGUAACCCUUAUCCUUUAUUUGAAUUUAUUAGUUUUUCAAUUAGUAAAGUAGAUCUGCCCCCAGGAAGCACAGUGAGCUAAACUGUUGUCACUUUAGUGUGGGGUCCCUGUUGAUUUUUUUUUUAUUGCCUUUAAAACCUUGGUAAUCAUGAGGAAUACUGGUCAGGUACCCUAGAGAAUUUCUCCAGACUGGGUCUGUCUCCCUGUUAGACAGGUGGUUCAUGUGUUUCGAAAGAUGACAGAGACUCCACUUAUUGCCACUGACUUAUGAACUGACAUGGAGGAUGUAGUUUUUCUUCACUGAAGACUUACUGUCUUAGUGAGGAUUUUACUGCUGUGAACAGACACCAUGACAAAGGCAAGUCUUAUAAAAGACAGCAUUUAAUUGGGGCUGCCUUACAGGUUCAGAGGUUCAGUCCACUAUCGUCAAGGAGGGACCAGGCAGGCAUGGUGCGGGAAAAGCUGAGAGUUCUACAUCAUCAUCUGAAGGAUGCUAGUGGAAGACUCAAUUCCAGACAGCUAGGAUGAAAGUCUUAAAACCCACGCCCACAGUGACACACCCACUCCAACAAAGCCGCACCCAUUCCAACAAGGCCACACCUACUCUAACAAGGCCACACCUACUCUAACAAGGCCAUACCACAACAAGGCCACACCUACUCCAACAAGGCCACACCUACUCCAACAAGGCCACACCUCCAAAUAGUGCCACUCCCUAGCCCAAGCAUAUACAAACCAUCACAGUUACUAUGCUUCCUUUUAUCUCUCUUUAGGUAUGAGCCACUAAGCACAGCCCACACUGGGUAGGCAGAGCAUAAUUAAACAUGAAGAGGCAGACAAGAUAUUUUUUUCAAUACGAAGAAGUCUCAUAUUUUGUGUGUGUAUGGUGGUGGUGGGGAGCUCUGUGUAAUUAUAUGUCAUAUAUGGAUAGAUGCCCAGGAAGGCCAGAAGAGAAUUAGAUGCUUUGGGUCUGAAGUUACAGGUGACUGUGAACUGCCAGACAAGGAUGCUGGGAAUCAAACUCGGGUCUUCUGUAAGAAUAGCAAACAAUCUCAGCCACUGAGCCAACCCUCUGGCCCUAAAUUAUAUCUCUCUAAAUUUAAUUUUAAAUUUAUUUUGCUGGUAUUUAAAAAUACAACUAAUUUUUUAUAUAGGUCUUGCUUAUAGAUAUCUGAUAUGCAAUUUACUUAUUAAAGCAUCCUGGAUAUUAAUUUAAAAUGUCUUUGUACAAAAUCAUAUCUGUUGUAAUUUGAUCUUUCCCUUUCUAGCUUAUAGGCACAUAUUUUCUUGCCCUACUCUAUAGACCAGUGCUUUCACCAUAAUGUAAACCAAUGUAGCUUUGCUAUGUAUCAUUGCCUCAUUAUUAAAGGCUUAAACUGAUCAUGGUGUCCCUUCACAUAUAGAACAGAGACUAAAACAAAAGUUGGUACCAGGAGUGGGAUAUUGUUGCAACAGGCCUGACCAUGCUGUUGUUGGAACAUGGACUGUGGAAAUUUGGAUUAGAGUAGUGACUGAAAGCUUUAAGCUGGACUUAAUAGGCCAUACUAGUAGGAGCAUGGAAGUCAGUGGUGCUCAGAGCCAAGUAGAUAAUGAUCGCCCAGCCUAAGGAGUUUCAAGGGGAAGAGUAUUAGUAAGUGGCUUAGAGAUCAUCCUUGUGAUAUUUUGCUAAAGAAUAUGUCCACUUUCUGCACUUAUCCAAAAAAGAUCUGCCUGAAAUUAAAUGAAAGAUUUUGGGAUUAACGGCAUUGACAGAAGAGAUUUUAAAGACAUCCCAGUAUUGAUUACAUCCUAUGGUUAUUAGUCACUUGCAUACAGAUCUAUGAUGAAAAGGGGCAAGCUGAGCAAAGAGAAAUCUAGAAGGUACAGUUUGAGGAGGAAAUAAUAUAUAAUGUAUAUAAUAGAACUAAGUGCUGUGCUCAACGGGGUACAAAGUUUAAAGAAAAACCUGGUGCUAAAUGGAAUAAAGGGAGUGGUGACCUCAGGGCAAGACCCACUCUUCAUACUAAGGUGCUAUAUCGCCAUGAAGAAAGAUACCAUGACCACAGUGCCUCUUAAAAAGGAAAGCAUUUAAUUGUAGUUGGCUUAUGUUUUAGAGGUUUAGUCCAUUAUUGUCGCGAUAGGGAGCAUGGCAGCACUCAGGCAGACAUGGUACUGGAGAAGUAGCUGAAAGUUGUACAUAUGAGUCUGCAGGAACAGAAAGAAAGGGCCACUGGGCUUGGCUUGGGCAUUUGGGAGCCUCAAGACCAUGUCCAGUGACACACUUCCUUCCUCAAGGCCACACCCCUAAUCCUUCUCAAGCAGUACCACUUCCUAAUUACUAGUCAUUCAAAUAUAUGAGCCAUGAUCUGUAAGAUGCUAAGAAAACAAAGACAUGAUGCCCCUCCCCCCCAAAAAUGUCCCAGGCAUAGAGUUGAAGCCUCAGAUACCAGCACAUGGAUGCAAACUUGUGUUUCCAUUGAGCCUCUGACCUCCUAUUUGAGGCUGAGGUCAGAUGCCCUGGUGACCACAGGCAUAAGAUGAAUUUAAAUGAGCAUUGGGCUUUCUGGGCAUGGGUGAGGUACCCUAUGGAGGUGUACUGGCUGGUUUUAUGUGUCAACUUGACACAAGUGGAAGUUACCACAGAGAAAGAAGCCUCCCUUGAGGAAAUGCCUCCAUGAGAUCCAGCUGUAAGGCAUUUUCUCAAUUAGUGAUCAAGGUGGAGGGCCCAGCCCAUUGUGGGUGGUGUCAUCCCUGGGCUGGUAGUCCUGGGUUCUAUAAGAGAGCAAGCUGAGCAAGCCAGGGGAAGCAAGCCAGUAAGUAACAUCCCUCCAUGGCCUCUGCAUCAGCUCCUGCUUCCUGACCUGCUUGAGUUCCAGUCCUGACUUCCUUUGGUGAUGGACAGCGAUGUGGAAAUGUGAGCUGAAUAAACCCUUUCCUCCCCAGCUUGCUUCUUGGUCAUGAUGUUUGUGCAGGAAUAGAAACCUUGACUAAGACAGGAGGCUCAGUCUCCCAUGGUUGUGUAGGGAAAGAAAGGAGGGUACUUAGUAGCGAUUCAAUUAUUCAGAUGGCAGUGACUUCUUUUGUUAUUGAUUUUAUAUGUUCAAAGAGUCUUUAAAGUGAUUAUUCUGUGGGCAACUGCCACAGCAUUGAUUUCUAUGAGGCUGAUGGUACCUGGAGAGGUGCCAAUACGGCUGCACAGAAUACAUUGGAAAUGAAGUGGCAGGUUUCCAGUGGGGCCUCCAAGAGGAGGAUGGUAGAUGUGAAGGGACGGAGGGAGCUGGCUCCAGGCAGACUGCCCAGAAUAAAGCUGGAGUGAUCCGGCCAUGCUCCUGUGCCUUCUACCUGCACAUCCGAUUCAGAGCUUAGACAGGACAUCCCUCGCCAUCACUUCCCUUCCCUGGGGAUCUGGGAAGUCAAGCUUAGAAGGCAUCAGAAUGCUGUAGCAUAAUCUCAGAUCACUUGGCCCUGAUGCUGCUCAUAUUUACUGAUAUAAAGGAAUAGACGUGUAAUACUGACGGUGACUGUCUUUUGCUAGAUAGUGGGUUGUAAUCUAAAAGUUUAUGUUCUGAAAAUUCAUCGGUGUAGCCAGAUUCAAUAUCCCCACUUUUGGAAAACAACUGAAAAAAAAUAUAUGUGUGUGUGUGUAUAUAUAUAUAUAUGUGUGUGUGUGUGUAUGCACGUGUGUGUGCAUAUAUAUAUAUGUGUAUACAUACAUAUAUAUAUCAAACUGUAACAAUGAAUGAGUGGCACAUUGGACAAUUAUCUACUGUGAAAGGAUAGCUAAAAUGAAAUGAAUGUUGGCGUAGUUGUAACAUAGAGUUUAAGUCGGAUACAUGGAAUUUAACUUGGAUUUUAAAUUAUGAGGGUUGGUAGAUGCAGAGAUGGCUCAAUGGUUAAGAGUGCUUGCUACUUUUUAAUCUAAUUAAUUCUUAAAUUAGAAAUAUAUUUAUAAAAUAUAUUUUGAUUGUGUUUUUUUCCUCUUCUAACUCCUUCUGGAUCCUCCCCAACAUUCCUGCCCAUCCAAUUUUAUUCUCCCUCUCUCUUUCUCUCUCUCUCUCCUCUCUAUGUCAACAAGCAAAACAAAAAAUUCCACAAAAAGAGAAAAAAAGAACAGCCAAAACCAAAGCAAAAUGAAACACACGAAUCAAAAUGAAUGACAACCACGGAGUGUCUUUUCUGUUGGCCAACUACUCUUCCUCACGGGGCAUGCCCUGGCCGAUAGUGGAUAUUCCCAGUGACACUCCAUGGGAAAGAAUGGGUUUUCCUUUGCCAAUGGGUAUCAAGUGCGCAUAGCUCUUGGUUAGGGAUGGAACCCUUCAUCUACUUCCCUUUCUCAACACAAGCUACUCUUACUGAGAACAUGGUUUCAGAUCUUAGCACUUACACGGUGGCUUUAUAACUCUGGGUAUAACUGGGUAACUCCAGUUCUUGGGGAUCCAGUUACCUCUUCUGGAAUUCUGGAGGGCCAGGGACGCAUACGGUGCCCAGAUAUAGUUGCAGGCAAAACACUCAUACACAUAAAAUAGAAAUAAAUCUUUAGGAGGUAAAGAGUUUGGGUGUUUCUUGGUGAAAGGAUGUGAUAUGUAUUACAAAAAGAAAUUACAUGUUAUGGAAUCUAAUGAUAAUGCAUUUCUUAUAUAAUCUUCUUUAGAAUAAAUAUUAGCAGCUGCUCAGAUAGCUGUGUCUGUUUUAGUUAGGGUUUUACUGCUGUGAACAGACACCAUGACUGAGGCAACUCUUAUAAAGGACAUUUAAUUGGGGCUGGCUUACAGGUUCAGAGGUUCAGUCCAUUAUCAUCAAGGUGGGGACAUGGCAGCAUCCAGGCAGGCGUGGGGCAGGAGGAGCUGAGAGUUCUACAUCUUCAUCUGAAGGCAGCUAGUGGAAGAAGACUGACUUCUAGACUGCUAGGGUGAAGGUCUUAAGCCAACACCCACAGUUACACACCUACUCCAACAAGACCACGCCCAAUCCAACAAGACCACGCCCACUCCAACAGGGCCACACCUUCUAAUAGUGCCACUCCCUGGGCCGAGCACAUGCAAACCAUCACAGUGAGGAAAAGUCCUUGUCACCAAGGCCAACGAGUUGAGCCGGUUCCCUGGAAUCACAUGAUAAAAGCUCUAGAUUAAAUGCUCAUGCAGUUCUUGAAGCACAACUUUCCAACACAACUCCACCCAUCACCUGGAAGUCGCGUUAAAUGUCCGCUCAGAGGCCUGGGGUGAAACAAGUCUGGCAGCCCGGGGUUAACUGACAGGGGAGCAGGCUCCUUAUCAGCCACUGCCUCUAAGUCCCUCCCACUGCAUGAGCGUGGGGCAUUGGCAGCGCUGACUCUGCUUCAGAGCACCCUGUAUUUCACCUCCUCUGAGGGACUUGAGGGGCUGGUACGUACUAGAUUCCCGCGUGCCUGCACGUUUCACAGAGUCACUGCACUGUGCCACGCCCUUCUGUAUGUCUGCAGUGCACCCUCAGCUCCUGGAUGCCGGAAGUUCCUCAGAACAUUCUCCAUGGAAUGUUCCGUCCGGUGAGUAGGACCAGUAGCCAGGGCCCUGAAUCUUAUAAAUUCCUGUUCUACCUCACUUGCUCACUUCUCUCUUACCACCAAACCUCGAAAUUCAGUUAAAAUAAAUUGUUUUGCAUUUUA